GACGGGGCCGCACAAGCGGUGGAGCAUGUGGUUAAUUCGAAGCAACGCGAAGAACCUUACCAGGUCUUGACAUCCCUGACAACCAAGAGAUUGGGCGUUCCCCUUCGGGGGACAGGGUGACAGGUGGUGCAUGGUUGUCGUCAGCUCGUGUCGUGAGAUGUUGGGUUAAAGUCCCCGCAACGAGCGCAACCCUCGCCUCUAGUUGCCAGCAUUCGGUUGGGCACUCUAGAGGGACUGCCGGCGACAAGUCGGAGGAAGGUGGGAUGACGUCAAAUCAUCAUGCCCCUUAUGACCUGGGCUACACACGUGCUACAAUGGGCGGUACAAAGGGCUGCGAACCCGCGAGGGGGAGCGAAUCCCAAAAAGCCGCUCUCAGUUCGGAUUGCAGGCUGCAACUCGCCUGCAUGAAGCCGGAAUCGCUAGUAAUCGCGGAUCAGCAUGCCGCGGUGAAUACGUUCCCGGGCCUU
rnacentral:rRNA from 1 species